UUUACAACAGUAAAGAUACUAGCCAGAGGGCUGCAUCCCAAAGCCGGGGUUUGGGGAGAAAUAGCACCCAGGGUUGAUUCCAUGUAAAGUCGUUUGCUUCUGCCGCCUCGAUGGGGCCGGCCAUGAUGGGGCCCUCUGCUUCCAUUAGGACAGGACAGGUGGAGGCUCAUUUUUCCUCUCAGAACUCAUUUCUCCUGGGGCCAUCACUCUCUGGCUGAGCAGCAAACAGCAGGGAGGGAGCACCUAGUCAGUAAUGUCAGGGACCAGCAGGGCAGGGCGCUUAGAGCCGCACCCUCCCUGCGGAGCUCCUCCCUCUGUCCAGCGCUCAAGGGGGCAGCAAAGCUUAUUGGAGGGAUGGUGGGUGAAUGCGCUGAGCUGACGCGACUUUCUCCCAGCAGCUGUGAGGCCCACCACCUGCAGGGCCAGCGGGAGAGCCCGCCACUGAGCGAAGGGGACUGCUACCCAGACACCUGCAGAGUGCCCAGAGUGCCCAGGAUGCUCUACCCCAAGGCCCAUGUCCUCCAGCCCACGAGGGUGGACGUGCUCCUCAUGACUCCCUGGUUUGCUCCCAUCAUCUGGGACGGGACCUAUGACUCUGCCAUCCUGGACGCACAAUUCAAAAACACCACCAUCGGGGUGGUGGUGUUUGCUAUCAAAAAGUAAGUAAGGUCCGGGCAGCUGGGCUGAGCAAGGGUGCUUGCCCAGGAAAACCAGGGAGCCGACCUGUGGUGUAGGGGGUGCUCCUCACCCGGGGUCUCUCAUUUCCAGGAUGAAGAGUUUGGCUCAUGGGGUCGGGAGUGAUGCAGAGGCCUGAGUGACUUUGUGUGUAGGAGAACUUGGUGGGAUCUGAGGGGGCCACUAAGGCAGAACCCUGCUCAAAAUAGCAGCCCCACCGCUCAGAGUCAUCUGCUCCAGAGGUCGCCGUAUCAACCUCUUGGAGAUGUGCAGCUGACACGGACCACUCACGCGUGCCAGCCGCUCUGCUAGGAGCUUAACCCCAGCAGGGCCCAGGCGUGGGUGCCCUGGUACCCCAAUCUGUUACCCAGGGAGGCCAGCUGAGGCUUAGCUUCUUAGUUAGCCGAAGAAAGUAUACUAUGUGGCAAAGCAGGCUCUGAGUUUCCAAGUUGCAUUUCCGGCUUUGGGGUCUUGCUUGUUUGUUUCGAAAACUGGUUCGUAUUUUACCAUCCGUUUCCCACUGUCUUGGACACCUUUGCCCUUGGCGCGUGCGG
rnacentral:lncRNA from 1 species